CCCCCUGUAGCUCAGUUGGUUAGAGCAGAGGACUCAUAAUCCUUUGGUCGCUGGUUCGAGUCCAGCCGGGGGGA
rnacentral:tRNA from 2 species